rnacentral:misc_RNA from 1 species
CGCACAUUGCGCCCAUCAGUAUUCUGGUGGGCAUGCCUGUUCGAGCGUCAUUUCAACCCUUAAGCCUAGCUUAGUGUUGGGAAUCUACUGUACUGUAGUUCCCUAAAGACAGUGGCGGAGUGGCAGUGGUCCUCUGAGCGUAGUAAUUCAUUUCUCGCUUCUGUCAGGCCCUGUCCUCCCGCCGUAAAACCCCCCAUCUUUUAGUGGUUGACCUCGGAUCAGGUAGGAAUACCCGCUGAACUUAA